ACACCCGAUACCAUCCCGAACUCGGAAGUUAAGCACCGAAGCGCCAAUGGUACUGCGUCUUAAGACGUGGGAGAGUAGGUCACCGCCAAAC
rnacentral:rRNA from 1 species